AGAGUUUGAUCAUGGCUCAGGAUGAACGCUAGCGGCAGGCUUAACACAUGCAAGUCGAGGGGCAGCACGAUGUAGCAAUACAUUGGUGGCGACCGGCGCACGGGUGCGUAACACGUAUGGAAUCUGCCUUGUACUGGGAGAUAGCCCUCCGAAAGGAGGAUUAAUAUCCCAUAAUAAGUCGAGUGGCAUCACUUGGCUUUGAAAGCUCCGGCGGUACAAGAUGACCAUGCGCACGAUUAGCUAGUUGGUGAGGUAACGGCUCACCAAGGCUACGAUCGUUAGGGGGCCUGAGAGGGUUAUCCCCCACACUGGUACUGAGACACGGACCAGACUCCUACGGGAGGCAGCAGUGAGGAAUAUUGCGCAAUGGAGGCAACUCUGACGCAGCCAUGCCGCGUGCAGGAAGAAGGCGCUACGCGUUGUAAACUGCUUUUAACCGGGAAGAAACCCCAGGACGUGUCCUGGGUUGACGGUACCGGAGGAAUAAGCACCGGCUAACUUCGUGCCAGCAGCCGCGGUAAUACGAAGGGUGCAAGCGUUAUCCGGAUUCAUUGGGUUUAAAGGGUGCGUAGGUGGGGCGAUAAGUCAGUGGUGAAAUCCUGCGGCUUAACCGUAGAAUUGCCAUUGAUACUGUCGCUCUUGAGUACGCUUGACGUGGGCGGAAUGUGCCGUGUAGCGGUGAAAUGCUUAGAUAUGGCACAGAACACCGAUAGUGAAGACAGCUCACGAAGGCGAAACUGACACUGAGGCACGAAAGCGUGGGGAUCGAACAGGAUUAGAUACCCUGGUAGUCCACGCCGUAAACGAUGAUCACUCGUGAUUGGCGAUAUAC
rnacentral:rRNA from 1 species